rnacentral:rRNA from 1 species
UACGAAGGGGGCUAGCGUUGUUCGGAUUUACUGGGCGUAAAGCGCACGUAGGCGGAUCGUUAAGUCAGGGGUGAAAUCCUGGAGCUCAACUCCAGAACUGCCUUUGAUACUGGGAAGCUUGAGUCCGGGAGAGGUGAGUGGAACUCCGAGUGUAGAGGUGAAAUUCGUAGAUAUUCGGAAGAACACCAGUGGCGAAGGCGGCUCACUGGCCCGGUACUGACGCUGAGGUGCGAAAGCGUGGGGAGCAAACAGG